rnacentral:lncRNA from 1 species
GUUUGUGUUUAUAUGUGAAGCUGAAGCCACACUGGCCAGGAGGUUGCUAGACUAUUGAUUGUUUGGAAUUAUUCCUGUCAUCUCUGUCUCCCAAUAGCCUAUUGUAUUCUGAUGCGAUUUUUCAGUCACCUGAUGGAACAGAAAUUGUCAGUGUCUCUCCCGAAAGAAAGAAAACUCAGAUCUCUACUGAAGAGACGAAGAAAGCUCGUUCCAUCUGCUGCUUCCCCUCCCCUUCUCCCUUCAAAUCCAACUAGGUUAAGUUUUAACUUCCUAAAGGCCAUAAAACAAAGGCCUGAGGUACUAGCUCCUGACAUCCUGGGUCUUCCCUAUCCGGUAGCCCCGUCACAAAUUGUGUUAAUUGCAUCAGAUUGUAUUAGAUUGUACAUUCUUCACAGAAAUAGCUUCGUUUAUAUCAUAGUAAUACCUGUAACUGUAAAUGUGUGUCUUCCUUUUCC